UACGGAGGGGGCUAGCGUUGUUCGGAAUUACUGGGCGUAAAGCGCACGUAGGUGGCUUUGUAAGUCAGGGGUGAAAUCCCGGGGCUCAACCUCGGAACUGCCUUUGAUACUGCAAAUCUCGAGUCCGGAAGAGGUGAGUGGAAUUCCUAGUGUAGAGGUGAAAUUCGUAGAUAUUAGGAAGAACACCAGUGGCGAAGGCGGCUCACUGGUCCGGUACUGACGCUGAGGUGCGAAAGCGUGGGGAGCAAACAGG
rnacentral:rRNA from 1 species